AUUGAACGCUGGCGGCAUGCUUUACACAUGCAAGUCGAACGGCAGCGCGGGGGCAACCCUGGCGGUGAGUGGCGAACGGGUGAGUAAUACAUCGGAACGUACCCAGAAGUGGGGGAUAACGUAGCGAAAGUUACGCUAAUACCGCAUACGUUCUACGGAAGAAAGUGGGGGAUCGCAAGACCUCAUGCUUUUGGAGCGGCCGAUGUCUGAUUAGCUAGUUGGUGAGGUAAAGGCUCACCAAGGCGACGAUCAGUAGCUGGUCUGAGAGGACGACCAGCCACACUGGAACCGAGACACGGUCCAGACUCCUACGGGAGGCAGCAGUGGGGAAUUUUGGACAAUGGGGGCAACCCUGAUCCAGCAAUGCCGCGUGAGUGAAGAAGGCCUUCGGGUUGUAAA
rnacentral:rRNA from 1 species